CUGAGACCCAUCAGACUCUCUCCGUCUACUCAUAGAAAAUGUCAGCUCUCACUCUUAUUCUGAUCAAAAGCUGACCUUAGGGGGAUAGCUCGGCAAGUAAAAUGCUCACCAUAAACAAGAGGACUUGGUGACCAUCACACAGACGGGAGAGCAGAAGCUGAAGAAGAGUCAGUGACCCCAGGAAAAGCAGCAGAAGGGGAGAGCAGAGUAUCAAAGACAGCCAGAUAGGUGAAACAAGACAAAAAACUGGGGACAGACUUUGGGUACAAAAAGUUUGCCCUGACGCUUCAGGCAGACGUAAGAUGCCAAGACGGUUUUGUUAAACAAGAAGAUUUGACUCAUUAGAUUUUUUUCUCCCAAAUGCAGGGACUCAACAACUCCACUCCUCACACCGCCACAAUGCAGUCCAGAAGGCGAGCCCGCUGCCUGUCUGUCAGAAUGAGGCUGUCAGCUCCCACACCCUUGAAGCAGAGCUUCAAGAAACUUUGAGCAUUUCUUAAGACAAAUGUAACAUGGAGGAAUGAGCCACCGAGUCAGCGCAAUGGCAUGGGCUGUGUUGCUAUGACAACCUAACUCCCAUUAUUUUCAAAUCCCGUGGCAAAGAUCUAGGCAGCCACAGAACUGAAUGGGGGUGCAAAGGAGCUCUCUGCCUUUUGUUUGUGGGAGGGAGCAGAGCCGUUCUAAAAUGGAUCUUUUCAUUUUCCUUGAUAAAGAGGCGAGACUGAAGCAACAUCUUCCCCCCGAGGGCUUCUGGACCAAAGAGCCCUGUUCUCUGUCUCCACGAGACAAUGAGUUACCUCGGUAGUGGUUGCCAGCCAUGUCCCCGAGAAGCAUCCUUCUUCAACGUGGCAAGCUACUCUGUAGGAAUUAGCUCAUGAAUCCUCGCGAUGAGGGAAGAAGACAGAAAUUAUUUGUUCUGGGAAUCCUGCCUGGGCUACUACUCAACCAUUUACAUAGAACUACAUGAAUACAGUGCCUAUGGAAGUCAGUCCCCCUUCAGUAUUUUUUUACACUUUUAUUUCAUUUAUGUGGAAGUAUGAGUAGUAGGGGGGGUGUACCAGCAUGAGUGUGCCGAGAUACAUGUGUGGAAGUUGGAGGGCAAAUUUCGAGACUUGGUUUUCUCCUGAGGUUCAAACUCAGGUUGUCAGGCUUGGCAAUGGCUACCUGUACCCACUGAGCCAUCUUGUCUUGAAUGUUGUCACUGUUUGAAAACACCCAUCAGGGUCCAAUCUGGUGGCCUGAGUGCCCAGUGAGCACAAAGACUAGGAAUUAUGUCUUUCAAAUAUCAACUCUAUGGCGUGACACAUGUACUGGAUGCUGCAAGCUAUGCAAUGGUGUCUUGACAUGCUGUGGUCUACCUCAGAAGCAGGACGGUAAACUGUGUCUAUCAUCAAGAGAAACGGUGGUCAUAAAAUAGAUUAGAGAUUUGUUUAAAGACAUAAAGAAAUUCGGGAACUUAGAAUAAACACUCAUCAAAUGCUCACCUUGUGCCAGUUGCUAGGUCAAGAGACAUAGCUGCUGGGUAAAGGGGAUUGUAAAUUUCCUUUGCCUGCACCUGUAAUGUGGCUUGUUCCCCCUCAGACUGGCUAGACUUACAAAGUCAUUUUGUUUUAACACCUGUUCUUAAAUCCUUAGUAACUUGUGGAGUCCUGACGCUUUCGUCUGUCCAUAAACUUCCAUCUGUCCAA